rnacentral:rRNA from 1 species
AGCGAACGCUGGCGGCAGGCCUAACACAUGCAAGUCGAACGAAGUCUUCGGACUUAGUGGCGGACGGGUGAGUAACACGUGGGAACGUGCCUUUAGGUUCGGAAUAACUCAGGGAAACUUGUGCUAAUACCGAAUGUGCCCUUCGGGGGAAAGAUUUAUCGCCUUUAGAGCGGCCCGCGUCUGAUUAGCUAGUUGGUGAGGUAAAGGCUCACCAAGGCGACGAUCAGUGGCUGGUCUGAGAGGAUGACCAGCCACAUUGGGACUGAGACACGGCCCAAACUCCUACGGGAGGCAGCAGUGGGGAAUCUUGCGCAAUGGGCGAAAGCCUGACGCAGCCAUGCCGCGUGGAUGAUGAAGGUCUUAGGAUUGUAAAAUCCUUUCACCGGUGAAGAUAAUGACUGUAGCCGGAGAAGAAGCCCCGGCUAACUUCGUGCCAGCCGCCGCAGUAAAAC